rnacentral:rRNA from 1 species
UACGAAGGGGGCUAGCGUUGUUCGGAAUUACUGGGCGUAAAGCGCACGUAGGCGGAUAUUUAAGUCAGGGGUGAAAUCCCGGGGCUCAACCCCGGAACUGCCUUUGAUACUGGGUAUCUCGAGUCCGAGAGAGGUGAGUGGAAUUCCGAGUGUAGAGGUGAAAUUCGUAGAUAUUCGGAGGAACACCAGUGGCGAAGGCGGCUCACUGGCUCAUACUGGACGCUGAGGUGCGAAAGCGUGGGGAGCAAACAGG